rnacentral:misc_RNA from 1 species
GAAAUGCGAUAAGUAAUGUGAAUUGCAGAAUUCAGUGAAUCAUCGAAUCUUUGAACGCACAUUGCGCCCGCCAGUAUUCUGGCGGGCAUGCCUGUUCGAGCGCCAUUUCAACCAUCAAGCCCCCGGGCUUGUGUUGGGGACCUGCGGCUGCCGCAGGCCCCGAAAACCAGUGGCGGGCUCGCUGUCACACCGGGCGUAGUAGAUUUUUCGUCUCGCCCAGGGCGUGCUGCGGGUUCCGGCCGUUAAAAAGCCUCUCUUUUAACCCAAGGUUGACCUCGGAUCAGGUAGGAAGACCCGCUGAACUUAAGC